UACGUAGGGGCGAGCGUUGUCCGGAAUCAUUGGGCGUAAGCGCGUGUAGGCGGCUCGAUAAGUCCGGUGUGAACCUUGGGCUCAACCCAAGCCUGCACUGGAUACUGCCGAGCUAGAGUCCGGGAGGGAGAGCGGAAGUUCCUGGUGUAGCGGUGAAAUGCUGCAGAGUAUCAGGAGGAACACCGAUGGCGAAGGCAGGUCUCUGGGCCACUACUGACGUGGAGAAG
rnacentral:rRNA from 1 species